rnacentral:rRNA from 1 species
UACGUAGGAGACGAGCGUUGUCCGGAGUUACUGGGCGUAAAGCGUGCGCAGACGGUUGCGUAAGUCAGAUGUGAAAGCCCCGGGCUCAACCUGGGAAUUGCAUUUGAGACUGCGUAGCUAGGGUGCGGAAGAGGGAAGCGGAAUUUCCGGUGUAGCGGUGAAAUGCGUAGAUAUCGGAAGGAACACCAGUGGCGAAAGCGGCUUCCUGGUCCAGCACCGACGUUCAGGCACGAAAGCGUUGGGAGCAAACAGG